rnacentral:rRNA from 1 species
GACGAACGCUGGCGGCGUGCUUAACACAUGCAAGUCGAGCGAUGAAGCACCUUCGGGUGUGGAUUAGCGGCGAACGGGUGAGGAACACGUGAGGAAUCUGCCUUCCACUCUGGGAUAACUCCGGGAAACCGGGGCUAAUACCGGAUAUUUUCAACUGGCGGCAUCGCCGGUUGAAGAAAGUUUUUCGGUGGAAGAUGACCUCGCGGCCUAUCAGCUUGUUGGUGAGGUAAAGGCUCACCAAGGCGACGACGGGUAGCCGGCCUGAGAGGGUGACCGGCCACACUGGGACUGAGACACGGCCCAGACUCCUACGGGAGGCAGCAGUGGGGAAUAUUGGGCAAUGGAGGAAACUCUGACCCAGCGACGCCGCGUGAGGGAUGAGGGCCUUCGGGUUGUAAACCUCUUUCAGCAGGGAAUAAGCGAAAGUGAAGGUACCUGCAGAAGAAGCACCGGCUAACUACGUGCCAGCAGCCGCAGUAA